CCUGCUUAAUGUUUCCAUUAACAAAUAUGGCACAACUAUAAACAACUUACUGAUAAAAAAGACACAUUAAUUAAGAAAGUAAUGAAAAGUAAACUAUAAAACUAAAGGAUGAUAAGAUGAAUUAAGAGGUUCAAGUAGAGAUAUGCAGUUUUUUUGUGGUGGGGGUUUUAUGAGGCAUAUGGUGGAGUACUAGCUAGAGGCUGUAUGGCGCAAUAGGAGGAGUUAUAGAAAAAAUAAGUAUAGAGAAAUGGGAACGAACUACACAUAGAGAGAAAUUUUAUGGAGGAACAGGAUGAUGAAAUACAAGGAAAGGUGAUAUAGAGUAAUAUGAGAUAUAGGGAGAGGUUCUAUGGAGUAAUAGGAGGAGUUAUAGAGAGAGGUUAUAUGGAGUAAUAGGAGGAGUUAUAGGGAGAGGUUAUAUGGAGUAAUAGGAGGAGUUAUAGGGAGAGGUUAUAUGGAGUAAUAGGAGGAGAUAUAGGGAGAGGUUAUAUGGAGUAAUAGGAGGAGUUAUAGGGAGAGGUUAUAUGGAGUAAUAGGAGGAGUUAUAGGGAGAGGUUAUAUGGAGUAAUAGGAGGAGUUUAUAGGGAGAGGUUAUAUGGAGUAAUAGGAGGAGUUAUAGGGAGAGGUUAUAUGGAGUAAUAGGAGAUGUUAUAGAGAGAGGUUAUAUGGAGUAAUAGGAGGAGUUAUAGGGAGAGGUUAUAUGGAGUAAUAGGAGGAGUUAUAGAGAGGUUAUAUGGAGUAAUAGGAGGAGUUAUAGGG
rnacentral:lncRNA from 1 species